UUACAAGAGCAAACUGAAUUCAAGCAUGGUAUUAUAAUUGGAUGCAGUCAGUUCUU
ensembl:miRNA